UUUACGAGCAUGACUUCGGGCAGUCUUAGAAUUGGGAGCUGGCUCAUCCAGAAGAGACCAUAACCAUUCUGGAUAUUCAUGAUCUUCACGAGCUACAGGGUCGACGCCACCCGCCUUUAUACACAGUCCCUUUAAUAUAGUACCUGGAAGGACAGAACUAGUGUGCGUUUUAUUAGCGACUUUUUGAGCUGAAGAAGUGGCAUCCGAAUUAUGCUGUGGCUUUUUGGGUGAAACACGAGAGGAUACAUAACUUCGUUUAACUAAUGAUGAAGAAGAGUUACGGGAACUUCUUAAAACCAAUGUGUUAGAGUAGCAUGAGAAUUGAGAGAUACCGCGAGUAAUUGCGCGCGAUAAAGGGGCCAUUGACUCGAUAAAUGGCAUUGCUUAGACAGUAAACAAAAAACUUUGCAAGGAGGAUAAAAUCUUUAACCAAAAGUGGAUCAAAGGC